CUGGAUUCAAGAUGGCCGCUUACUUGGGAGCGUAUUUGGAAAUAAUUUCAUCGAUUUUGUGCAUAUUUUCUUCAUUUUUUCGAUGAAACUUAAUAGUUUUCCCAUCAGCCAGACUUUAUAAACCGAAAGUUAUCUUAUAUGAGUAAACUUGGAAGGCUGGAAGCCUGAAAUAGACGACAAAAGUUCACAAUUUUCACAAAGUUGGAACUUCGUAAAUUGCAACAAUAAUAUUCGCAAGUUGCUGUUUAUUUGGAUGUAAAUAGAAUCUGCUUAAUGGGACAAGGGUUUAAUAGAGCUCCUUGCCUUGCUGGCUAAUGAUAUUUUAAAAGCUCUCAGGACAGCUGUUAUCUCACAAUAGGUAUUGUACAAUUCAAACACACAGAACAUAUUAAUUUGUAUAAUAGAUAAAUUUGGAAAAGUUAGUUACAUUGUUGCUAUGCAAUUCACAACUUUAAAUAUUCAUGCCUAGUUAGUGUUCUACAGUAGUUCACACAUAGAAUAGAACAGAGGUAACUAAGCAUUUGAUAAGCCCUAUACACUAUAAAAGUCAUUCAUUCAUUCAUGUAGCUAGAUAAUUC